rnacentral:rRNA from 1 species
AUUGAACGCUGGCGGCAGGCCUAACACAUGCAAGUCGAGCGGAUGAAGAGAGCUUGCUCUCUGAUUCAGCGGCGGACGGGUGAGUAAUGCCUAGGAAUCUGCCUGGUAGUGGGGGACAACGUUUCGAAAGGAACGCUAAUACCGCAUACGUCCUACGGGAGAAAGUGGGGGAUCUUCGGACCUCACGCUAUCAGAUGAGCCUAGGUACGAUUAGCUAGUUGGUGAGGUAAAGGCUCACCAAGGCGACGAUCGUUAACUGGUCUGAGAGGAUGAUCAGUCACACUGGGACUGAGACACGGUCCAGACUCCUACGGGAGGCAGCAGUGGGAAAUAUUGGACAAUGGGCGAAAGCCUGAUCCAGCCAUGCCGCGUGUGUGAAGAAGGUCUUCGGAUUGUAAAGCACUUUAAGUUGGGAGGAAGGGCAGUAAGUUAAUACCUUGCUGUUUUGACGUUACCGACAGAAUAAGCACCGGCUAACUUCGUGCCAGCAGCCGCCGUAAUAC